GUGCAGAAAUCCAUAUCAUUCCAGAGGGUUCACAUACUUUUUCUUGCACCUAUAUUUAGCUGUGAUCUUCAAUGUCUCAGCGUGAGCUUGUCUCCACUAUCAACAACAGUAUCUAGCAGUGUCAAUAUGAGAGGUUUGUUUAAGUCUAGGACUAUGUAUGUAUUUUGGGGAGUGAGUGUGUAGAAUAACCUUUACACUGUGAAGUAUAUCAAGGUGCAAAUCUUCCAUCCCACCAUCUAAAUGCUUUAUCUUCUGUCAAUGUACAUACAUUUAUUUGGAAUUGGCAUGUACCAAACACAUAUAUAACACUAUAACAAAUAUUAGCAGCCUUUUGCUGGGUGUGAUAUAUUUUGUAUACUUACAGAGCAUUUCCAUAUUACAAUAUGAGAAAUUGUUUUAAAGUCCUACUCUAUUUUUUUCUGAAGCUGUAGAAACCAUUUUCAUACAUUGGAUGACAAAACACAGUUAAGAUAUGCUUGUGAUCUCAUGGAUUCCAGAUAAGCUUUUUUAAAGAUAAUUUCUAGGCACUAUAAACACAUUAUUUCAUAGGAUUAUAGUAACUGAAAUCCCCUGGCACCAUCCCUCCGUUCUUCUUUAAGCUGCUUAUCAAAUGCAUUAACACUAAAUCAGGAUCCCUGCCUGUCUAGAUUCAAACCACCAAUGUACAAUUCAUGCCAGCAAUGGGGUGGUUUUGAUAGGUUCAGAGUGCUCAGUUGAUGCUCUCAACCUAUCACUGGCAGCAAAAU